AUGUACAUUCCUACAUCAUAGUGUUAAUGCACUCGAUCCCAUUAGAAAUUUGUAGUUAAGUGCGCUCAGGAUAGAUUAGUACUAGGAUGGGUGACCUCCCGAGAAGUCCUAGUGUUUUACAUG
rnacentral:rRNA from 1 species